GGGGUAGCUUGCUACCCGCUGACGAGCGGCGGACGGGUGAGUAAUGCAUAGGAAUUUACCCGAUAGUGGGGGAUAACCUGGGGAAACCCAGGCUAAUACCGCAUACGUCCUACGGGAGAAAGGGGGCUUCGGCUCCCGCUAUCGGAUGAGCCUAUGUCGGAUUAGCUGGUUGGUGAGGUAAUGGCUCACCAAGGCGACGAUCCGUAGCUGGUCUGAGAGGAUGAUCAGCCACAUCGGGACUGAGACACGGCCCGAACUCCUACGGGAGGCAGCAGUGGGGAAUAUUGGACAAUGGGGGCAACCCUGAUCCAGCCAUGCCGCGUGUGUGAAGAAGGCCCUCGGGUUGUAAAGCACUUUCAGUGAGGAAGAACGCCUGAUGGUUAAUACCCGUCAGGAAAGACAUCACUCACAGAAGAAGCACCGGCUAACUCCGUGCCAGCAGCCGCGGUAAUACGGAGGGUGCAAGCGUUAAUCGGGAUUACUGGGCGUAAAGCGCGCGUAGGUGGCUUGAUAAGCCGGUUGUGAAAGCCCCGGGCUCAGCCUGGGAACGGCAUCCGGAACUGUCAGGCUAGAGUGCAGGAGAGGAAGGUAGAAUUCCCGGUGUAGCGGUGAAAUGCGUAGAGAUCGGGAGGAAUACCAGUGGCGAAGGCGGCCUUCUGGACUGACACUGACACUGAG
rnacentral:rRNA from 1 species